rnacentral:rRNA from 1 species
CUACGCACUCCUACGGGAGGCAGCAGUGGGGAAUAUUGCACAAUGGGCGUCAAGCCUGAUGCAGCCAUGCCGCGUGUAUGAAGAAGGCCUUCGGGUUGUAAAGUACUUUCAGCAGUGAGGAAGGUGGAUAUGUUAAUAGCAUAUUCAUUUGACGUUAGCUGCAGAAGAAGCACCGGCUAACUCCGUGCCAGCAGCCGCGGUAAUACGGAGGGUGCGAGCGUUAAUCGGAAUUACUGGGCGUAAAGCGCAUGCAGGUGGUUUGUUAAGUCAGAUGUGAAAGCCCGGGGCUCAACCUCGGAAUUGCAUUUGAAACUGGCAAACUAGAGUACUGUAGAGGGGGUAGAAUUUCAGGUGUAGCGGUGAAAUGCGUAGAGAUCUGAAGGAAUACCGGUGGCGAAGGCGGCCCCCUGGACAGAUACUGACACUCAGAUGCGAAAGCGUGGGGAGCAAACAGGAUUAGAUACCCUGGUAG